CAAUAACUGAAAUGAAAAACACACUAGAAGAAAUCAAUAUGAGACUCACUGAGCAGGAGAACAAAUAAGUGAGUUGGAAGACAGAAUGGUGGAAAUAACUGCUGAAGAGCAGAAUAAAGAAAAAAGAAUGAAAAAACGUAAUACCUAUUUCUGUCAUGACUGUCUUUCUGAGACACAUUCUCCACUAAGGGUAACCUGGGACUACCUAUCACCACAGUUUGUGGAUGCAUAAGAAAGACUGCACUGGAAGGAAAAAUAUAUAGCCUUCAAGCCCCUUUCUCAUCCUCCAGAGACCCUGCGGUUCCAGGACUCUACCUUAAUGGCAGGAAAACCGCAACCUGCAUUGCACAUGCCCAACUCAGUGAGCAUGCGCAGUGUGUGCGUGCACAUCCGUUGCUGCGCAUGCGCCUUGGUGCCCAUACGCCGUCCUGCGCGAUCUGUGAGGAGCGUUGGGCCUGAGACAGGUCUGUUUAUUCAGUCCCGGUUCUUUCUCACUACUUAAGACUCACCAGGGAGAAAUAUGAGUGGGCAAGUGGCAUCAGCAUUAGGACCUACAAAGCAAGAUUGCUCCCAGGUGGAUGAACCUGUGGUUCCCAGUGUUGAGCAACCUCAACAAGAGGAACCGCCAGCUGAGAUUCAGGAUAUCACACCUAGAAAGGAGGAAGUACAUGUAGAGGAUCCAGUGAAUCGUGAUGAAGAAGAGGAGAAGGAUCCCUUUUGAAGGUAAAGUGUAUCUGUGCCUCAUGCCUUAAGACAUAACCAGUAAGAAGAGGAAAGGAAACAUUAGAAAAGGACUUCAGACAGUUUCUAAAAAACUGAGGAGAGUAUAGUUUGCAGGUCAGUGUGGUCACUCAAAUUUUCCCUUGUUUUCAAGACAAAGAGAAGGGGGCAACCUAGUUGUCUGAGGACAACCCUGGAAAAGGAAAAUGGUAAUAACAUUCGCAAAUUCUGCUUUCCUUUUUCUCCAGCAAAACAUUCCUGGAAUAAUGCUCCUGAGGUUCUUAUUCAUCACAUUUUUAGCAUACUAACCUAAGGCUUUUAAUUCAUAACACCGAGGGAAUGAAUAUUAUCAUUCCCUUGUUUAUAUUG
rnacentral:lncRNA from 1 species